GUCUAUGGCCAUACCACAUUGAAAUUACUGGUUCUGGUCCAAUCACAUAAGUCAAGCAACAUCGGGAGUGGGUAGUAAUUAGAUGGGUGACUGCUUGGGAGCACCACGUAUUGUAGAUA
rfam:Biomphalaria glabrata isolate BB02 unplaced genomic scaffold LGTN_random_Scaffold1177, whole genome shotgun sequence.